rnacentral:rRNA from 1 species
AUUGAACGCUGGCGGCAGGCCUAACACAUGCAAGUCGCGCGAGCGGCGGACGGGUGAGUAAUGUCUGGGAAACUGCCCGAUGGAGGGGGAUAACUCCUGGAAACGGUAGCUAAUACCGCAUACCAUCGGAUGUGCCCCGAUGGGAGUAGCUAUUAGGUGGGGUAACGGCUCACCUAGGCGACGAUCCCUAGCUGGUCUGAGAGGAUGACCAGCCACAGUGGAACUGAGACACGGUACAGACUCCUACGGGAGGCAGUAGUGGGGAAUAUUGCACAAGGGGCGCAAGCCUGAUGCAGCCAUGCCGAGUGUAUGAAGAAGGCCUUCGGGUUGUAAAGCACUUUCAGCGGGGAGGCGUUACCCGCAGAAGAAGCACCGGCUAACUCCGUGCCAGCAGCCGCGGUAAUAC